AAUAGUUGGUAGUAGUAGACGCGAAACCUGGUGAUCUACCCUUGGGCAGGUUGAAGCGCUGGUAACACAGCGUGGAGGACCGAACUGGUUGUCGUUGAAAAGACUUCGGAUGACCUGAGGGUAGGGGUGAAAGGCCAAUCAAACUGGGAAAUAGCUCGUACUCCCCGAAAUGCAUUUAGGUGCAGCGUUGAAGCGAGUUUAAUAGAGGUAGAGCUACUGAUUGGAUGCGGGGGUUUCAUCGCCUACCAAUUCCUGACAAACUCCGAAUGCUAUUAAAUGCUCAUCAGCAGUGAGGGUAUGGGUGCUAAGGUCCAUAUCCUAAAGGGAAAGAACCCGGACCAUCAGCUAAGGUCCCCAAAUAUAUGCUAAGUUGACCAAACGCGGUCUGACUGCACUGACAGCUAGGAUGUUGGCUUGGAAGCAGCCAUACAUUUAAAGAGUGCGUAACAGCUCACUAGUCGAGCGGUUGGGCAUGGAUAAUAAACGGGCAUAAGCAUAUUACCGAAGCUAUGGGGUUAUUACUAAGUAAUAUACCGGUAGGGGAGCAUUCUAUUGGCGUUGAAGCUAAAGGCGUGAGCCAUAGUGGAGCCUAAUAGAAAAGAAAAUGUAGGCAUAAGUAACGAUAAGGCAGGCGAGAAACCUGCCCGCCGAAAGAUCAAGGUUUCCUCAGCUAUGCUAAUCAGCUGAGGGUUAGUCGGGGACUAACGCGAACCCGAGUAGGGGUAGUGGAUGUACAAUAGGUUAAUAUUCCUAUACCAUUAGUCUGUUAAAAGUGACGGAAUGAGAUAACUACCGCGUACUGACGGAAUAGUACGUUUAAGAAGUUGUUAUGACUUCGAAAGUACGCUGAGGCUUCGGCCGAGGUGAGUGUGGUGACAACGUUUCCAAGAAAAGCGAAGAUUAAUGCCCGUACCGUAAACCGACACAGGUGAUUGGGAUGAGAAUUCUAAGGCGCUCGAGAGAUUCAUGGCUAAGGAACUAGGCAAAAUAGACCUGUAACUUCGGGAGAAAGGUCGCCUAUCAAUAGAUAGGCCGCAGUGAAAAGGUCCAAGCGACUGUUUAUCAAAAACACAGGACUCUGCAAAAUCGAAAGAUGAGGUAUAGGGUCUGACACCUGCCCGGUGCUGGAAGGUUAAGAGGAGAGCUUAGUGGUAACACGAAGGUUUGAAUUGAAGCCCCAGUAAACGGCGGCCGUAACUAUAACGGUCCUAAGGUAGCGAAAUUCCUUGUCGG
rnacentral:rRNA from 1 species